CAGGUGGGUGCAGCCUUGUACCAGCGGCCCAACCUACACCUAAGUAAAUUCCCAGGGAGGUCCCCCUGGGAUUUGGAUUUGCAGUAAUAGGUGUGGGCACUCUAGCAGCAGUUUGAUGAUCAUGUAUGAUACUGCAAAAAGAG
rnacentral:scRNA from 1 species